rnacentral:rRNA from 1 species
UUUUAACACAUGUUGAGACAGCCAAAGAUUUAUCGGCUAAGGAUGGGCCUGCGUCUGAUUAACUAGUUGGUGAGGUACCGGCCCCACCAAGGUGACGAUCAGUAGCCGACCUGAGAGGGUGAUCGGCCACAUUGGAACUGAGACACGGUCCAAACUUCUACGGAAGGCAGCAGUAAGGAAUCUUGCACAAUGGGGGAAACCCUGAUGCAGCAACGCCGCGUGAACGAUGAAGGCCUUAGGGUUGUAAAGUUCUGAUCUGGGGGAAGAAGGAAGUGACGGUACCCCAGGAGAAAGCCCCGGCUAAAUACGUGCCAGCAGCCGCGGUAAUACGUAUGGGGCAAGCGUUAUCCGGAAUUAUUGGGCGUAAAGAGUGCGUAGGUGGUUACCUAAGCGCAAGGUUUAAUCUUGAGGCUCAACCUCAUUCUGCCUUGCGAACUGGGCUACUUGAGUGCAGGAGGGGAAAGCGGAAUUCCCAGUGUAGCGGUGAAAUGCGUAGAUAUUGGGAAGAACACCGGUGGCGAAGGCGGCUUUCUGGACUGUAACUGACACUGAGGCACGAAAGCGUGGGGAGCAAACAGGAUUAGAUACCCUGGUAGUCCACGCCGUAAACGAUGAGCACUAGUUGUUGGGUACGAAUGUAUUCAGUGACGCAGUUAACGCAAUAAGUGCUCCGCCUGGGGAGUACGGUGGCAACACUAAAACUCAAAGGAAUUGACGGGGACCCGCACAAGCAGCGGAGCAUGUGGUUUAAUUCGAAGCAACGCGAAAAACCUUACCAGGGCUUGACAUCCCUCUGACCGGAUCUUAACCGAUCCUUUCUUCGGACAGAGGAGACAGGUGGUGCAUGGUUGUCGUCAGCUCGUGUCGUGAGAUGUUGGGUUAAGUCCCGCAACGAGCGCAACCCCUAUCCCCAGUAGCCAGCGGCCCGGCCGGGCACUCUGAGGAGACUGCCAGGGAUAACCUGGAGGAAGGUGGGGACGACGUCAAAUCAUCAUGCCCCUUAUGAUCUGGGCUACACACGUGCUACAAUGGCAGUUACAAAGUGAGGCGAACCCGCGAGGGGGAGCAAACCACAAAAGGCUGUCCCAGUUCGGACUGUAGUCUGCAACCCGACUACACGAAGCUGGAAUCGCUAGUAAUCGUAAUCAGCAUGUUACGGUGAAUACGUUCCCGGGUCUUGUAC